UGCCGGUGCAACCUCCCUUCGCCCCCGCUCGACGUCGCCCUGCCCGUCUGCCUCUCCCAUGGCGCACGGCACCUGCCGCCGGACCCGCCCUUCCGCCAUCUCCUGUAUCGUCGGCGCAACCUCCCUUCGCACCGCUCGCCGUCGGGUUGUCCGGCCCGUCCGCCUCUCCUACGACGCCAGCCUCCAGCCCCGCCAUCUCCUGUGGUGCACGACGCCCGCCGCUGGCCCCGCCCUUCCGCAUCUCCUAUGGCUCGCGCGCCUGUCCGUCGGCCACGCCCGUCCGCCUCUCCUGUGGCACACGACUGUUGCUGUGUACGUCUGGAACAACGCCACAGGGUGGCCCUCCCUCAUCGGUAAAUUUUGCGUCGAGCUUAUUUUGUUUGAUUUCAUAUGCUGUGUGCCAAACUCUAAAUUCUGAAGGCUGUGGCUGGAAUUGCCGUUCCAUUCUCAUGUCCCUCAUGACUCUGCGUGUGUACUUCUUCUCAUGUUGAACUAAUGUGUGAUACUAGGUCUUUGCAUCUUCAAUGAUUCAUCCCGGGAGCCAUAUGAUCUGUCAGAUGAUGACACUAAUUUGCAGAAGAAGUUCACACGUCUAAGGGAUCAUGCAGCUGCACUGCGAAACUACUGUAUAAUCCUGACCUUUCUUUCUUUUGUCUUCACAAGGUUGAAAGCGCUCUUGGUUCUGCUGAAAAGCUUGUGAGAGCAUCACCUGAUGAGCUGUUCCACUACUAGGGUGAUCUUGUUCAAGCACUGGUACAUGUUCGUUGUUCUGAUGUCGUGAUAGAAGGUGAGGAAGAUUUUGCGGAAGAAAAGCGACAGAAGGCAUUAGUCGCCUUGCUGGUAACCAGCCCAUUUGAAUCAUUUUUGCUUUGCAUUUUCUUCAGGAUUUGGUACAUGUGUAUUUUCACAUAAUUUUUAACAAACCAAUUCAUAGAUUCGUUGUAUAUGAAUAACCGACCAAACAAAGACCGGUGAUAAUCAGCGUCAUCCCGGACCUAACGAACAUUUUAGUCUGAAUUUAUCUAACACUAUGGGAAUAGGGUAAAUGAUAACCAAAAGUUAGAAAUCUGACAUUAUGAUUGAUCAUACUAUCUGUAAUCCAUACUCUUCUGCUUUAUGGGAGUUAGUCUGUCGAUCAUCAUGACCAACUGAAAAUAAUUAAACCGGUAGAUCCCGACCUCAAAUGGCG
rnacentral:rRNA from 1 species